rnacentral:lncRNA from 1 species
GCGGUGGCAACAUGGGCCCAUCUUGAUCCCGUGCUCAGAAACAUCAGGGAGAAAUAUCCGGAUGCAAAACACAUCCACUUCAUUUCAGAUGGCCCAACAUCACAGUACAGAAACCGUACCUUUUUCUAUUUAGCCUCCACUGUGCCCUUCAUCCAUGGUUUCCAAUGGGUGACCUGGAACUACACUGAGGCCUCACAUGGCAAAGGUGCACCGGAUGGAGUAGGUGGGGCCCUAAAAAACCUUGCCGACCGAAUAGUUUCCUAUGGGACCAGCAUACCUGAUGCGGAUGCACUGUAUGAGCAGCUGGAGAGAAAUUCUUCCGUGACCCUGUACAAGGUGUCAGAGGAGAAAAUCAAGGAAAGCUCUGAAUUGGUGCCCCCACACCUGAAAGCUGUUCCCGGGACAAUGAAAAUACACCAACUGACAUCCACAAAACCUGGAGUCAUAAACACAAGGCCAGUGUCCUGCUUUUGUGACAAAGAUUGUCAGUGCUUUCAACCAACUUGCCACGCUUUCUCUGAGGGAGGGGAGGAGGGCCCUGACAGCAUCGAGGAACCUGACAGCACCGAGGCCACCAUAGAGGUUGGACAGUGGGUCCUUGUUGAAUAUGACGGCGAUUUGUUUCCUGGCACAGUCAAACAGAUUGCUGAUGACCAGUAUGAAGUGGACACCAUGACGCGUGUAGGGGAAAACCGCUUCUAUGUCCCAAGCAUCAGAUUUCCUGGAGAAAUGGUCUGGUAUUACCGCCAGGACAUAAUCCCAGAACCACUUCCUGCCACCUCCUCUGCCAGACAUUUUUGCAUUUUGCCUGAUUUAUGGGAAAAACACAAAAUCCGCACAUGAUUCACUUUAUCACAUUAUUCUCAA